GGGAAGUACCAGCAAUAACCCGUGGAGUGGCUGGAGGAGAGAGCCAGGAGAAUCACAGCAAUGAUCAUUAUUGCAAGCCAACAGGGGACAAAGUAAGGCUCCUCCAGAAACACUGACUUAAAUGAAAGUGAAUAUUCUACAAAUUGACUCCCAGACUGAUUUCCCAAUACCACGCAGAAUGGAUUUUGGCCAACUCUUUUCAGCUAAUAGGUUCAGAAGGUAGUAUGCUCAAAUAGCCAUCACAAUCAAGAUCUCUACUCUACUGGCCAAGACACAUAAAGAGGCACCAGUGGCAGAUAAAAAACACUCAAAGCUAAAUGUGAUCUAACUUCAGUCAAGAAGAGACAGGAAACUCCUCUGGGACUGAAAAGUUGCUCAAGUUCUGAUCUGAAGAAAAAGACCCAGGGACAUAUGGAAUAUGGAAAAGGUCCAAGAGAAAUUCUAGGAGCCCACUAUUCCUGGCUUUGCCUCAUCUUCCUUGGACAUCAGUGUGUCUUCCUCAACACCAAAACAGUUGUGUCACCAUGAAUGAAAUUGUGCUCUUCAGAAAAAAAUUUAAACAAUGAGCAUAUAGAAGGCAAAAACUUUGGGACUCUUGGGUCUGGGGCCCUUUCUCUUUGAAGAAGUUUGUUACUGUAUUUGCUGCUUGCUUAUUAUCUCUGUGUUUAAUCUCCCCCUCCCUGCCCCCUCAAAAGCUUUACAUUUACAUUAAUUUACAUUAUUAUUAUUAUUGUUAUUAUUAUUUUGGGAAUAUUAGUGUCUCUAUUUAAAAUAAGGACACUUAAGCAAAAGGUAAUGCUUUACUUUAUUCAGAGUCUUAACCGAGAUUAACUGUUGAAGCUGAGAUUUCAGCUCAAAUCUUAAGAUUCCAAAUUUACAGUCUUUUCUGUGCUAUCACAAUGUCUAAUUAAUCCAUUUACACUGAAAAGGGAAAUGAUUGCUAAAGAUUUAGGUAGUGAUUACUAAAAUUAUCCAGGGAACUUGAAAAAGUUAAUAAAGAUUCCUGAACUUGAGCUUCAGAUACUGUUUAAAAAGAUCUAGGGUUUUGUAAGGUGUCUGUCCUAUUAUUUUUUUUUUUAAAGUUUUUCUCUAAGUAAUGCUGCUGCUUAGCCAGAUUUGGGAACUUCUUUAAAGUAUGAGACAGCUUUAAAGAAUUUGCAAGAAUAUUUGCAUUUUUCAAAGGAGAAAAUAAAUCUUUCAAAUGAAGCAUUUCCACUCAGAAUUUUUCCGUUAUGUGGGUGGUUUGAAAAGGUAUGCUGAGGAGGGGCACUUCCUAACACCUCAGAAAUCAGGACAGGAAGUGAGCUACUUACUUUGCUUUCUCAAAAGUGUAUUCUUUCUUACAUAUGCACCAUGCAUGGACCUUGAUUAAAUUUUUUAUCUGAAAAAAAUAAGUCAGUAGGCUAUUUACCGACACCCCCCCCCCCCAAUAGAACACAGCCUGCAAAACAAAACUCCUUAAAAUCUUAGUUUCAUCUCUUCUGAUAGUUGCAUGUCUUGGGGAAAAUAUUUAGCCAUUUUGAGACUUAGUUUGCUUGUCCACUAAAUGCACAUACCCAUAUAUAUCCCAUGGGAUUGGCCCAAGGAUGAUACAAACUUUUGUGGGUGGUUUGGCCUAGUAGGUGUGCAACAAAUGUAACUAACGUUCCUUUUAAAAGAACAUAAUCACUGACCUGUAACCUGAACCAUAUCAACUUCCUAUGCAACAGAGUACACCAUCUUGUGUUCCAUUAUUUUUAAAUGAUGCUAUGUAAAAUAAUAUUCUAUGGACAAACUUGUUUGGCAAAUAGUGGAGAACACUUGUCUCAUUGGGAGAUCUUCACAAUAUGCAGUUUAGAAAUCUCAAAAAAUUUUUCAUGAAUAAAAUUUUCUUUAAUUCAUCAUUACUAUAAAUGCAUGUGACUAUGGACCUUUUUGGUCAUGGGACAUCAAUGAAUAUCCUAGAAAUAGUAUCCCAAGAAGCACACUAUGGCAAAAGAUUCUCUUUGCCAUUAAUCUAUUAAAAAUAUAUGAUUUAGUUUCUAGGCAAAUGGAGACAGUACAAAAUAAAACCUCAAGGUAUAGAUUUUAAUUAUAAAUAGAUGUGAAUCACAUUGUAAUGGAGUAGCAGAUAUAAAAUUCAUGUAUAAGAUCCCACGUAUAGAUGUUGUAUAGCUAUUUUUUGUUCUGUUUGCAUAUGUAAAUAUGCACAUGUAUAUAUGUUUUACUGUGUAUGUCUUUAAAUGUAUGAGUUUGUGUCUACGUGUAUGUAUAAAAUUAGGAAUCUCUUCAUGUGAUUACUAUAUCAAUUUGUGAAUA